rnacentral:rRNA from 1 species
GAUAAACGCUGGCGGCGUGCCUAACACAUGCAAGUCGAACGAUCCCGCAAGGGAGAGUGGCGGAAGGGUGAGUAACACGUGGGAAUCUACCUCCUCGCAGGGAACAACCUCUCGAAACGAAGAGGCUAAUACCCAAAAGGGUCAGAAAUGAUCAGAGUCGAAAGGCGUGAGGAGAGGAGCCCGCGGCCCAUCAGCUAGUUGGUGAGGUAAUGGCUUACCAAGGCUACGACGGGUAGGGGAUCUGAGAGGAUGUCCCCCACACUGGAACUGAAACACGGUCCAGACGCCUACGGGUGGCAGCAGUGAGGAAUAUUGGACAAUGGGCAAAGCCCGAUCCAG